CAGCAGUGGCCUGCUGCAGGGGCAGGGGCUCUGGGUGUGGCACUGCCUGUAUGGGACCUUUGGAAGGAGGUGGCCAUUGUCUUCAUUACCUCCACCAUAGUUUGGCCUCUGGUCAAACAACAGGGAAGGAACACAGCCCCACCCAUCAACAGAAAAUUGAAUUAAACAUUUACUG